GUGCUCACUCCGGCAGCACAUACACUAAAAUCGGAACGACACAGAGGAUUAGCAUGGCCCCUGCGCAAGGAUGACAGGCAAAUUCAUGAGGCGUUCCAUAUUAAA